GCAGCCGCGGUAAUACGUAGGGGGCAAGCGUUAUCCGGAAUUAUUGGGCGUAAAGAGUGCGUAGGUGGUUACCUAAGCAGGGGGUGAAAGGCAAUGGCUCAACCAUUGUUAGCCCCCUGAACUGGGCUACUUGAGUGCAGGAGAGGAAAGCGGAAUUCCUAGUGUAGCGGUGAAAUGCGUAGAUAUUAGGAGGAACACCAGUGGCGAAGGCGGCUUUCUGGACUGUUACUGACACUGAGGCACGAAAGUGUGGGGAGCAAACAGGAUUAGAUACCCC
rnacentral:rRNA from 1 species